AAAAAAAAAAAAAAAAGAAAACAUGUUCUCCAGACUCCAGAGUACUGAAUAAUUGUACUCUGUAAAAUGGCACUUCUCUUCUAUUUCAUGCGUGCUUGAAAAAUGUUGUCAAGGAAGAAUAAUUAAAAGCUUUUCAAAACAUCAGGUAUUUAAAUUAAAAAAAAAAAGGAAGAAAAUCAUUGCAUGAAUUUAUUCCUUUUUUUUUUUUUAAUUUGUUAUUGAUUAACACAAUGAGGGUUAUGAGUAUAAGAGCAGCAGUGAGCAGUGAGCAGUUGCCCUUGAGAAGCUCCCCCUAUUCCUCUUUUCAGAAGCUGUCCGCAGAAGCCCAUCCUUUUUUCUCCAACUCCAUUCGCAAUGUCUGUAAUUUAUGCCAGAGUAAGCAAAAUUACUCACAAAGAAGAUGAGGGAAAACCCAAUUUUCAGCAAAAAAUUUACCUUUAUUCUCUUUCUAUUGUAAUCAAAAUCGAAGUUUCCCAACCUUGAAGCAGAUCGAUACUCCACGAUGGAGUCAUUGCCUGGUGGAAACCAAAAUUCAACAUCAUCCACCAACCCCAAAAUGGGACUUUGGUACUCCACAUGCAAAUAGUCAUCCUUCUUUUCUGCAAUCCUCGGUGUAAAUUUAUCUGGUUUUGUUGACUUUAUCUGCAAUCAAAGGCAGCCGAUUUCACGCUUGGAAAGUAUCAACUUGUUUUUCCUCGUAUGAAAAGGCUUAAUCAAAGGGCUAGACUCUAGAGUAAUGAAAUUACACACAAAUGAAAAUGGGUCAUCUAUUAUGUAAUCUUUCAAAAAUAUUUUUGAUGGGAUCUGAAUAUAAGAUUUUUACCACUUGAAGAAGCUCCUCCAUUGCCACUUCUCUGCUCACAGGCUUCUUUCUACUGAUAUUAUAAUUCCUAUGAGAAAAAUAUAUAUCAACAUAUGAAUCACGUUUUCAUUGACUGGGUCAGAACAUGGUUGGUGGGCAUCCAUCAUAAGCAAUAAUAGUUAGUAGAACUGUCAAAUUAGUUUUCAUCUUCUUUUUCUUUUUCAUCCGUAUUACCGCAGACUCUAGAACCUUACCAAGGAGGAGCAUAAUGAGUAAGAUCGCUGAUAUUCUCCGAAGUUGAUAUGCAAUUCUUGGUAGCUGGACACAGAGCUAGUGCUUGUUGGUUCUUCUGCACCCCCAAGUAUUCUGGCUUUUUUCCACUGUAAUCAAACACCAAUUUGUUCAUUUCAUAUAUAAAGCAUUAUCCUUCUCCGAGAUCCGAAUGGCAAAUUAUUGGGUCUCGCUGGAAUGGGCAAUGCACGAAAUUAAGUGGCAAGGAGAUACCUGAGAUUGAAAAUGGCCCCAACUACUGCUAAUUCGCUGCUCCUCAGUAUAAUUUCCCUUCGAGCAAUUUGGUCACUGGGUUUGUUGCUGUUAUCUUCAUCGUUUUGCUGAUGAGAAAGGAGGAUUCGAGGACGGGCUGAACCGAUAUGGUGUUUGCUACGAGUCUUAUAAUAAUAGCCGCGAUAGGCG
rnacentral:misc_RNA from 1 species